UACGUAGGUGGCAAGCGUUGUUCGGAAUUAUUGGGCGUAAAGGGCGCGUAGGCGGUCUUGUAAGUCAGCUGUGAAAGCCCGGGGCUCAACCCCGGAGGGUCGGCUGAUACUGCAGGACUGGAGUACGGAAGAGGUAGCUGGAAUUCCCGGUGUAGCGGUGAAAUGCGUAGAUGUCGGGAGGAACACCUGAGGCGAAGGCGGGCUACUGGGCCGAUACUGACGCUGAGGCGCGAAAGCCAGGGGAGCAAACGGG
rnacentral:rRNA from 1 species